rnacentral:rRNA from 1 species
AAUCAACGCUGGCGGCGUGCCUAACACAUGCAAGUCGAACGAGAAAGUGGAGCAAUCCAUGAGUACAGUGGCGACCGGGUGAGUAACACGUGAUUAACCUACCUUCGAGUGGGGGAUAACGCCGGGAAACCGGCGCUAAUACCGCAUAACAUCGCGAGGUGAAAUUCCUUGUGAUCAAAGGAGCAAUUCGCUUGAAGAGGGAGUCGCGCCUGAUUAGCUAGUUGGCGGGGUAAUGGCCCACCAAGGCAAUGAUCAGUAGCCGGCCUGAGAGGGCGCACGGCCACACUGGAACUGAAACACGGUCCAGACUCCUACGGGAGGCAGCAGUGGGGAAUUUUGCGCAAUGGGGGAAACCCUGACGCAGCAACGCCGCGUGGAGGAUGAAGUCCUUUGGGAUGUAAACUCCUUUCGACCGGGAAGAUUAUGACGGUACCGGAGGAAGAAGCACCGGCUAACUCUGUGCCAGCAGCCGCCGUAACAC